ACAUACAUAAUUAUGUUUGUGUGUGUGAGUCGCUUGCACGGCGACGGCGCCUGUCUGGCGAAAGUGAUUUUUCAGUAAAAUUUCGCAGCUUCAAGUCGACGGACGGAGUGGAGUGCAAUGCAGCAGGUCGAUCGGUCCGGUGGAGCCAAAUUGACGAUGUCGUAAAGAGUGCAGAAGCCGUAAAUCAAGGACCCCCAACAGAAAGCAAUAGAGGAGGACAUUGCUGAAAGUCAACGAAACGACGCCACAAAGUGAAAGACCGCAAGGAGUGGGAGUGGGAGAGGGAGACGAAGAGCGAGAGCGAAAGCGUCGCGUCAAAAGUUGAGCGCAUGCUGUGUAGGGGGCGGCGCAGAAGACGAGUCAAGUGAAGUGCAAGAAGCAACAACAAAA